rnacentral:rRNA from 1 species
AACGAACGCUGGCGGCAGGCCUAACACAUGCAAGUCGAACGGGUGUAGCAAUACAUCAGUGGCGCACGGGAGAGUAACGCGUGGGAACCUACCUUUUGGUUCGGAAUAACGUCGGGAAACUGACGCUAAUACCGGAUAAGCCCUACGGGGGAAAGAUUUAUCGCCGAAAGAUGGGCCCGCGUUGGAUUAGCUUGUUGGUGAGGUAACGGCUCACCAAGGCUACGAUCUAUAGCUGGUCUAAGCGGAAGAUCAGCCUCACUGGGACUGAGACACGGCCCAGACUCCUACGGGAGGCAGCAGUGGGGAAUAUUGGACAAUGGGGGCAACCCUGAUCCAGCCAUGCCGCGUGAAUGAUGAAGGCCUUCGGGUUGUAAAGUUCUUUUGGCGGGGACGAUGAUGACGGUACCCGCAGAAUAAGCUCCGGCUAACUUCGUGCCAGCAGCCGCCGUAA